GCAUAUCAAUAAGCGGAGGAAAAGAAACCAACAGGGAUUGCCCUAGUAACGGCGAGUGAAGCGGCAACAGCUCAAAUUUGAAAUCUGGCUCUCGGGCCCGAGUUGUAAUUUGUAGAGGAUACUUUUGAUGCGGUGCCUUCCGAGUUCCCUGGAACGGGACGCCAUAGAGGGUGAGAGCCCCGUCUGGUUGGAUGCCAAAUCUCUGUAAAGUUCCUUCAACGAGUCGAGUAGUUUGGGAAUGCUGCUCUAAAUGGGAGGUAUAUGUCUUCUAAAGCUAAAUACCGGCCAGAGACCGAUAGCGCACAAGUAGAGUGAUCGAAAGAUGAAAAGCACUUUGAAAAGAGAGUUAAAAAGUACGUGAAAUUGUUGAAAGGGAAGCGUUUAUGACCAGACUUGGGCUUGGUUAAUCAUCUGGGGUUCUCCCCAGUGCACUUUUCCAGUCCAGGCCAGCAUCAGUUUUCCCCGGGGGAUAAAGGCGGCGGGAAUGUGGCUCUCUUCGGGGAGUGUUAUAGCCCACCGUGUAAUACCCUGGGGGGGACUGAGGUUCGCGCAUCUGCAAGGAUGCUGGCGUAAUGGUCAUCAACGACCCGUCUUGAAACACGGACCAAGGAGUCGUCUUCGUAUGCGAGUGUUCGGGUGUCAAACCCCUACGCGUAAUGAAAGUGAACGCAGGUGAGAGCUUCGGCGCAUCAUCGACCGAUCCUGAUGUUCUCGGAUGGAUUUGAGUAAGAGCAUACGGGGCCGGACCCGAAAGAAGGUGAACUAUGCCUGUAUAGGGUGAAGCCAGAGGAAACUCUGGUGGAGGCUCGCAGCGGUUCUGACGUGCAAAUCGAUCGUCAAAUAUGGGCAUGGGGGCGAAAGACUAAUUGAACCUUCUAGUAGCUGGUUUCC
rnacentral:rRNA from 1 species